CAUCAUGAUUUACAUUUGAGUGAGUGGCGAACUGGUGAGUAACACGUGGGAAACCUGCCCAGAAGCGGGGGAUAACACCUGGAAACAGAUGCUAAUACCGCAUAACAACUUGGACCGCAUGGUCCGAGCUUGAAAGAUGGCUUCGGCUAUCACUUUUGGAUGGUCCCGCGGCGUAUUAGCUAGAUGGUGGGGUAACGGCUCACCAUGGCAAUGAUACGUAGCCGACCUGAGAGGGUAAUCGGCCACAUUGGGACUGAGACACGGCCCAAACUCCUACGGGAGGCAGCAGUAGGGAAUCUUCCACAAUGGACGAAAGUCUGAUGGAGCAACGCCGCGUGAGUGAAGAAGGGUUUCGGCUCGUAAAACUCUGUUGUUAAAGAAGAACAUAUCUGAGAGUAACUGUUCAGGUAUUGACGGUAUUUAACCAGAAAGCCACGGCUAACUACGUGCCAGCAGCCGCGGUAAUACGUAGGUGGCAAGCGUUGUCCGGAUUUAUUGGGCGUAAAGCGAGCGCAGGCGGUUUUUUAAGUCUGAUGUGAAAGCCUUCGGCUCAACCGAAGAAGUGCAUCGGAAACUGGGAAACUUGAGUGCAGAAGAGGACAGUGGAACUCCAUGUGUAGCGGUGAAAUGCGUAGAUAUAUGGAAGAACACCAGUGGCGAAGGCGGCUGUCUGGUCUGUAACUGACGCUGAGGCUCGAAAGUAUGGGUAGCAAACAGGAUUAGAUACCCUGGUAGUCCAUACCGUAAACGAUGAAUGCUAAGUGUUGGAGGGUUUCCGCCCUUCAGUGCUGCAGCUAACGCAUUAAGCAUUCCGCCUGGGGAGUACGGCCGCAAGGCUGAAACUCAAAGGAAUUGACGGGGGCCCGCACAAGCGGUGGAGCAUGUGGUUUAAUUCGAAGCUACGCGAAGAACCUUACCAGGUCUUGACAUACUAUGCAAAUCUAAGAGAUUAGACGUUCCCUUCGGGGACAUGGAUACAGGUGGUGCAUGGUUGUCGUCAGCUCGUGUCGUGAGAUGUUGGGUUAAGUCCCGCAACGAGCGCAACCCUUAUUAUCAGUUGCCAGCAUUAAGUUGGGCACUCUGGUGAGACUGCCGGUGACAAACCGGAGGAAGGUGGGGAUGACGUCAAAUCAUCAUGCCCCUUAUGACCUGGGCUACACACGUGCUACAAUGGAUGGUACAACGAGUUGCGAACUCGCGAGAGUAAGCUAAUCUCUUAAAGCCAUUCUCAGUUCGGAUUGUAGGCUGCAACUCGCCUACAUGAAGUCGGAAUCGCUAGUAAUCGCGGAUCAGCAUGCCGCGGUGAAUACGUUCCCGGGCCUUGUACACACCGCCCGUCACACCAUGAGAGUUUGUAACAC
rnacentral:rRNA from 2 species